rnacentral:lncRNA from 1 species
UAUUGGUGAAGCUUUGGUGUUGAAGCUUUGUAGGUGAAGCUUUGAGGUUGAAGCUUUGUUGGGCAUCAUGAAUUGAUUUUGCUUCACACUAUCUUGAUGAAGAGUGUGCGAAGCUUUUAUAUGUUUUGGUGUUGAAAUUUUGUAUUGUAGGUGAAGCUUUGGGGUUGAAGCUUUGGUGUUGAAGCUUUAUAGGUGAAGUUUUGGUGUUGAAGCUUUAUAAGUGAAGCUUUGGUGUUGAAGCUUUAUAGGUGAAGCUUUGGGGUUGAAGUUUUAUAGGUGAAGCUUUUGUUGGCACCAUAAAUUAAUUUUGCUUCACACUAUCUUGAUGAAGAUAGUGCAAAGCUUUUGAGAUUGAUAUUUGUCCUCCAUUGAUGAAGCUUUUGUUGGCACCAUAAAUUAAUUUUGCUUCACACUAUCUUGAUGAAGAUAGUGCAAAGCUUUUGAGAUUGAUAUUUGUCCUCCAUUCAUGAAGCUUUUGUUGGCACCAUAAAUUGAUUUUGCUUCACACUAUCUUGAUGAAGAUAGUGCAAAGCUUUUGAGGAUUGUAGUUGUGUUCCAUUGAUGAAGCUUUUGUUGAAUUUCCCAAUUUCCAAUUUCCUCUUUUUUUUUGUUUUUGUUUUUGUUUUUUUUUUUUGUUUUUGGGAAAACUAGAAAUUUGAAAAUGUGGGAGAGACAACGUAUACAAAUUUUGCUUCCAUACUGUUAAGCGAGAGAUUGUGAUGCAAGCCACAUCUUGUAGUAGUCGAAGGUUUGGAUGAACCAUAGAAAAUGAAUUUGCUUCGAACAGUCUUGAUCAAGAGCGUUUGAAGCUUUCUAUGAGUUGUAGUGUUUGCAUUGUUACAGAGGAGAAAUGUUUGAAGCAGAUGCAAGAGGGCUGAAGAGCUUGAUCUUCGUAUACCAUGCACUGAAGCCAUUGUUGGCUUGCAAUAAGACUUUGUUGGUGACUAUAGCUCUUGUUAGGCAUAAGUGCUCCCCUAGUUGAGUUGUAAAGCUUGAUGGUUUUUUAUUAUUUGUGAAUGCUAGGAGUUCACAUGUACAAGUUGUACCACUCGUCUUCUGGUUAGUGGAAUGAAUGGUGGGUUGCUUUCAUCACUUGGUUGGUGGUACGAAUGUGAAUUCCUUAAUCACCUUUCAUCACAUUUCAUCACCUGGUUGGUGACAUGAAGGAGAGUACGCGUUGUACAUUUCAUCACCUGGUUGGUGGCAUGAAGGAAAGUACGCGUUGUACAUUUCAUCACCUGGUUGGUGGCAUGAAGAUGAGUUCCUUCUUCACCUGAUUGGUGAUAAGGGUGGCAAGUUUCCAAAUAAUAUUAGAGUACAGGUUGUACAUUUCAUCACCUAGUUGGUGGUACGAAGGUGAGUUCCUUCAUCACCUAGUUGGUGAGAAUAAGGGCAAGGUGUCGAGGCACAUUUUUGGCAAAUGUCGAAUGACACAAAGUGUGUUGAACCCUUUCGAAGCACAGUUGGCUUAUGUAUAGAUGUGUUGGAAUGUAUGAUGUUUAUGCAUGAAUGUGUUGGAAUGUAUGAUGUUUAUGUAUGAAUGUAUUGGAAUGUAUGAUGUUUAUGUAUGAAUGUGUUGGAAUGUAUGAUGUAGAUCCUUUGUAUAGUCUUGUUGACACAUACUUAGAUUUUGUUUUUGUAUUGGAAACAUUUGCGUUGAAGCUUCAACACUUGAGUGUUUCAUUGCUCAGAAUGUAAAAGAGUUUAUGGCCGAGUUGGCUAAAUCACCUCUUUAUUGAAUUCAUACCAAAUGGUCUUUGUUACAUAGGAUGCCGAACGGCUGUAGCUUAACACUUGUACAAUGUGAGUUUAUUUGUAAUAGUACUUCAAGUGGUCAGCAUUCCAUGGAUGGCCAAGGGUCUUGCCAUCGGAGUUUCUGAGCUUGUAGGAGCCAGGGCGGCUGAUGCCGACGACCUCAAACGGUCCGUCCCAGUUAGGACUGAGUGUUCCUUCACUCGGGACCCUAUCACAGAGUAAUCUUUUC